AAACAAACUGAAUUCAAACACACCAUCAUAAUAAAAACACACCUUUUUAAUUUGAACACCUUUAAUGUAUAGACUAAAAUAAACUAAGAUAAAUACAGAUUCAUUUGUGGGAGGUGAACCUCAUGAUAAGUAAGAGAAAGAAGAAAUAAGAUACAAAAGUAGGCAAGAAAUAAGAUACAAAAGUAGGGAAGCCUUGCCCCUACGGACCCACCAAACAUCUUGCCUUACAGCUGGUUUCACAUUUCUUACCAAAACAUCUUGCCUUAAAGCUUUGUCUUGGAUUAUCUUACCAAGCCCUCCCUCGCACAAGUAAAAGGAUCAGGGAUUAGAAAAUAGCAGAAUCAGUAAAACUAUGAGAAGCCAGAGCUCCUGACAGACGAUCUCUGAAAGAAGAUAGAAACACAAAAAAGAAGUAAAAUCUCCUAUUGUUCUAGUAAUUUCAGCAUGGUCUUCAUAGGACAGUCAUAGAAGCCGAGUAACUUG
rnacentral:lncRNA from 1 species